UUGCUGGGAAAGGUGGUUACUGAUGACCAUGCAGAAGAAGGAAGAACAUGAGAAGCCUUUGGAAGGAAGCUCCAAAACCUGUACCUUUUUCCAGGAGUCUAAAAUUUCCCCAGUUCUUUUAAAAUACUCAAGUCCUGCAGUGAAAUGGUCUUUUCUUCUGCACUGUCCCGGUUUCAGUCUCCAAGCUGCUUGGACCUAAGAAGAGGCCUCCACUAUCAUCAUCAUCUCUGAAAGGACAGAUGUGUCUAUAGACUCAAGUUCUCGGCAAAGGUUAGGUUUGAGUGAUGUGCUUCAGUGAGAACGGCCUGUGACCUGUGUGUCCUUCUGUUCUGGAGAGCUAAGAAUGGAUUUAUUGAGGUCCACGGUAAAACAGUGACGCAUCACAGGGUGGAUGAUUUUGUGCUAUCAAGAAUCAAGGCAUUUCAUAGAUAAGGGAACAGUAUAAUCUGUCUGUCUGUCAAGCCAGACUUAAAUCUUUGAUGUGCACCUUCUCUAGGCCUCUCAAGCCUCAUUUUGACUGCCAUUUAACAGACUCGGUCCCCAUAUCCUCAUGCAAUGAACAUUUUCAUGCAAACUGGCAGUCGAGUUUGCAAAAUCCUGACGCUGCUUUAGAGAAACAUCGUUGACGCUUCCUCAUAUUUGUCUUGUGCUCUUGGAGUAUCCAGGGAGGUUCAUUUUCCUACCAGGCUCUACCCAAAGAAGGUCUAGGAACGGCUUCUCUAGGAGCAAAGCCCACAAUUCUUCAAGCCUCCCAGGGCACCAGGAACUGAUGCUUUAAACUUCUCCUCUCACAAUCCAACAACCACCAUGAGACUCGCCGGCACACGAAGUAACGCUGCUGCUAACAGCAAACCUAUCUGCCUGGUGCUUUUAUAUGUCUGACUGGAGACCUAAUAAGCACGGAAUUGGUGUGUGAUUUAAUGAGGA